rnacentral:rRNA from 1 species
AGUGAACGCUGGCGGUAGGCCUAACACAUGCAAGUCGAACGGCAGCACAGUAAGAGCUUGCUCUUACGGGUGGCGAGUGGCGGACGGGUGAGGAAUACAUCGGAAUCUACUUUUUCGUGGGGGAUAACGUAGGGAAACUUACGCUAAUACCGCAUACGACCUACGGGUGAAAGCAGGGGAUCUUCGGACCCUGCGCGAUUGAAUGAGCCGAUGUCGGAUUAGCUAGUUGGCGGGGUAAAGGCCCACCAAGGCGACGAUCCGUAGCUGGUCUGAGAGGAUGAUCAGCCACACGGGAACUGAGACACGGUCCAGACUCCGACGGGAGGCAGCAGUGGGGAAUAUUGGACAAUGGGCGCAAGCCUGAUCCAGCCAUACCGCGUGGGUGAAGAAGGCCUUCGGGUUGUAAAGCCCUUUUGUUGGGAAAGAAAAGCAGCAGGUUAAUACCCCGCUGUUCUGACGGUACCCAAAGAAUAAGCACCGGCUAACUUCGUG